GCCUGUGAGGGUUGCUGGAGGUAUCAGAAGUGCGAAUGCUGACAUAAGUAACGAUAAAGCGGGUGAAAAGCCCGCUCGCCGGAAGACCAAGGGUUCCUGUCCAACGUUAAUCGGGGCAGGGUGAGUCGACCCCUAAGGCGAGGCCGAAAGGCGUAGUCGAUGGGAAACGGGUUAAUAUUCCCGUACUUGGUGUUACUGCGAAGGGGGGACGGAGAAGGCUAUGUUGGCCGGGCGACGGUUGUCCCGGUUUAAGCGUGUAGGUGUGUGUUCCAGGUAAAUCCGGUUCACUUUAACACUGAGGCGUGACGACGAGGCACUACGGUGCUGAAGCAACAAAUGCCCUGCUUCCAGGAAAAGCCUCUAAGCAUCAGGUAACAUCAAAUCGUACCCCAAACCGACACAGGUGGUCAGGUAGAGAAUACCAAGGCGCUUGAGAGAACUCGGGUGAAGGAACUAGGCAAAAUGGUGCCGUAACUUCGGGAGAAGGCACGCUGACACGUAGGUGAAGUGAUUUACUCAUGGAGCUGAAGUCAGUCGAAGAUACCAGCUGGCUGCAACUGUUUAUUAAAAACACAGCACUGUGCAAACACGAAAGUGGACGUAUACGGUGUGACGCCUGCCCGGUGCCGGAAGGUUAAUUGAUGGGGUCAGCGCAAGCGAAGCUCCUGAUCGAAGCCCCGGUAAACGGCGGCCGUAACUAUAACGGUCCUAAGGUAGCGAAAUUCCUUGUCGGGUAAGUUCCGACCUGCACGAAUGGCGUAAUGAUGGCCAGGCUGUCUCCACCCGAGACUCAGUGAAAUUGAACUCGCUGUGAAGAUGCAGUGUACCCGCGGCAAGACGGAAAGACCCCGUGAACCUUUACUAUAGCUUGACACUGAACAUUGAGCCUUGAUGUGUAGGAUAGGUGGGAGGCUUUGAAGCGUGGACGCCAGUCUGCGUGGAGCCGACCUUGAAAUACCACCCUUUAAUGUUUGAUGUUCUAACGUGGACCCGUGAUCCGGGUUGCGGACAGUGUCUGGUGGGUAGUUUGACUGGGGCGGUCUCCUCCUAAAGAGUAACGGAGGAGCACGAAGGUUGGCUAAUCCUGGUCGGACAUCAGGAGGUUAGUGCAAUGGCAUAAGCCAGCUUGACUGCGAGCGUGACGGCGCGAGCAGGUGCGAAAGCAGGUCAUAGUGAUCCGGUGGUUCUGAAUGGAAGGGCCAUCGCUCAACGGAUAAAAGGUACUCCGGGGAUAACAGGCUGAUACCGCCCAAGAGUUCAUAUCGACGGCGGUGUUUGGCACCUCGAUGUCGGCUCAUCACAUCCUGGGGCUGAAGUAGGUCCCAAGGGUAUGGCUGUUCGCCAUUUAAAGUGGUACGCGAGCUGGGUUUAGAACGUCGUGAGACAGUUCGGUCCCUAUCUGCCGUGGGCGCUGGAGAACUGAGGGGGGCUGCUCCUAGUACGAGAGGACCGGAGUGGACGCAUCACUGGUGUUCGGGUUGUCAUGCCA
rnacentral:rRNA from 1 species